rnacentral:lncRNA from 1 species
UUUUCAUAUAGUUUCAACUACCGUCAUUGAAUUCAAAUAUGUCAAACAAAACAUCAUAUUUGAAUCUAUGGGUGCGUUUGGUUCGCAUUAUGAAAAAUUACUAGGAAUAAAAGAUAUCCGAUAAUCUUAUUUCUAUUCAUCCUAUUACUAAGAAUGUGAAAUUCCUGUGUUUGGUUCGCACGGUAAUAUUAAUUAGCCAUAUUAUUUAAUAUUACAAAAAAUAUACAAUUAAUUAAUUAAUUUAUUUAUUUAAUUUUAGAUAAUAUUACUAAAAGUUUUAACAUCUUUUUAGAAAAAAGGGAGAGAGAGUAUAAGUUAGAGAAAAAGAACAUAAUUAAAAAAAUAGAAAGAAAAAUAUAGUCGAAAUUAGAGGGAGUGAGAGAGUUGAAAUUUUAGAAAGAGAGAGAGAGAGAAAGCUUAGUUUAGAGAGAGAAAAAAAAAGUUGAAUUUUAGAGAGAAAAAUAAGUUUAGAGAGAGAUAUAAGGUUAGAGUGUAAAGAAAAAUAAUAUCAAUUAGCCGGCGGGUCGGAAGAAAGAAAGAGAUUAGAUAUAUUAUGAUUACCCCAAUUCAUUAAUAUGAGGAUACCCACCCUCCCUCAAGGGAAUGAGAUUAAUAUGUACUUUAGGGUGAAUCUUAUUUCCAAGUGAAUUCAAUAUUACCAAUUAGAUUAUUUAUUGCGUUUAGCCAAACACCGUCAUAUUUUUUUAUUCCCAUUGGAUUACUAGGAAUCUUUAAAAGAUAGCGCGAACCAAACGCACCCUAUAUGUAAUUAUAAUUAUAAGAGCUAGGCUCCUGUAAUAUUUAUAGUACUAGAAGUCAGGUACUAACGUAUCGUUUUCAACCGUAAAAUGUUUAAAUCAACGAUCCAUACCGUUAAAUUUAAUCUAAAAUAUUUAAAACUUCACUACAACAAAAACGGUGUAUAACGACACUUUUAAAUGUCGGUAUAGAUAAAAAAAAAAACUGCUGGCUAAAUUACCGACACUUUUUAAAAAUAUUGCUAUAUAUGGGGUCGCUAUAGGUAGGGCCGCUUUGAUAUUUAGCACCCGUAAAAUUUAAUCUAAAAUAUUUAAAACUUCACGACAACAAAAACGGUGUAUAACGACACUUUUAAAUGUCGGUAUAGAUAAAAAAAAAAAACUGCUGGCUAAAUUACCGACACUUUUUAAAAAUAUUGCUAUAUAUGGGGUCGCUAUAGGUAGGGCCGCUUUGAUAUUUAGCACCCGUAAAAUUUAAUCUAAAAUAUUUAAAACUUCACGACAACAAAAACGGUGUAUAACGACACUUUUAAAUGUCGGUAUAGAUAAAAAAAAAAACUGCUGGCUAAAUUACCGACACUUUUUAAAAAUAUUGCUAUAUAUGGGGUCGCUAUAGGUAGGGCCGCUUUGAUAUUUAGCACCCGUAAAAUUUAAUCUAAAAUAUUUAAAACUUCACGACAACAAAAACGGUGUAUAACGACACUUUUAAAUGUCGGUAUAGAUAAAAAAAAAAACUGCUGGCUAAAUUACCGACACUUUUUAAAAAUAUUGCUAUAUAUGGGGUCGCUAUAGGUAGGGCCGCCUUGAUAUUUAGCACCCACUCCUCUAGCGAUCUAUGGCGAGGGAUACGUGGCGAUCGUAAUCCUCUAUGAU